AUUGAACGCUGGCGGCAGGCCUAACACAUGCAAGUCGAACGGUAACAGGAAGCAGCUUGCUGCUUUGCUGACGAGUGGCGGACGGGUGAGUAAUGUCUGGGAAACUGCCUGAUGGAGGGGGAUAACUACUGGAAACGGUAGCUAAUACCGCAUAACGUCGCAAGACCAAAGAGGGGGACCUUCGGGCCUCUUGCCAUCGGAUGUGCCCAGAUGGGAUUAGCUAGUAGGUGGGGUAACGGCUCACCUAGGCGACGAUCCCUAGCUGGUCUGAGAGGAUGACCAGCCACACUGGAACUGAGACACGGUCCAGACUCCUACGGGAGGCAGCAGUGGGGAAUAUUGCACAAUGGGCGCAAGCCUGAUGCAGCCAUGCCGCGUGUAUGAAGAAGGCCUUCGGGUUGUAAAGUACUUUGCAGCGGGGAGGAAGGCGAUAAGGUUAAUAACCUUGUCGAUUGACGUUACCCCGCAGAAGAAGCACCGCUAACUC
rnacentral:rRNA from 1 species